rnacentral:lncRNA from 1 species
AGAUAACCUAAUAUUUUUAUUGGCACUAAUAUUCGUAUUGAAGGCUUUGUCAAUGUUCUGUCUUAAGGAGACAGUUUAUAUUGCAAGCCUUUCUUUUUUCUGUUUAAAAAUGUAUAGGUAAUAAAUACAGAUUACAAAGAACUAAAGGUUUUCUUUCAGGAUUUGAAACCAAACAGAUAGAUUUUAUUACUCUUUUCUUAUUAGCACAAAUCUUAAGGGUUAUCCCUUGGGAUGGGGUCUCUGGCAGUAUAUUAACGAUAACAUUAAUGGGAAAGAGAAACGUCGCUUUGCUUUGAUAGCCCAUCUUUGUGCGCAACAUGUGAUGAUGUCACUGUUUAGCAAUGAAGGUCUCAUGCUGUUGUACUGGAGACUGGAGGACUGGAAUUUUAGUACCACAAGCCUGACCCAGCUCUAGAGACGGCAUUUGGCAUAUUUCUCCUUGUUUUAUUGUGCCCACUUUGUUAUUGUUUGGGUUAGGCUGGCCUGAAAUAAAGGAUUCAGAAGCAAUAAAGAUGAAUAUAGACUGUCUGGUGUUUGAGGGUUAAGACUUUUUUUGUGUGUGUAGAGUUACAGUAUGGUUAUUUAAUAGGGAAUUCUCACAUAUGGGGGUGAAAAAAUUAUAACCUAAGAACUGAUAAUAAUAUAAGUAAAUUGGGUAGAUUUUUUUUAAACCUACUAUAGAUUUUAUUUGCAGCUGAAUAUUUAACAGUUUAUUGGGUGAGGCCUACAGGCUUGAAAUUGCACGUCUAUGAAUUUAAGCAUCCCAUCUUCAACACCUUGUAUCCUGUUCCACUGUCUUUGCUAUUUUUUAACUUGCAGCAACAGACGAGGGGCUCUUAAACCAUCUGUUAACCUUUUUUUUUUCCUUUUUUUUUUUAAACCAUGCAGAGUCGCUUAAGGCAAGAAGACCCAGAGCAAGCAAGACUGAAACAAAAAGCAAAGGAGGCUGUGGAAGCGGCCAGCGGUACCCAGCCCUCUUAUCCAGGCUGUACUCAAGACAGAAAAUCACAAGAGUCAACCUCAGGGAUUUCAUCUUCUACUUGGAACAGGAAAGAAAAACAAGCCACUAUCUUCUGCUCUAUCAAGCCUUGCUUAAAUAAAGCCAAUCAUUUCCCUGGCUUCCUCAGAGGGAAGCUCAGAUGAACAUUUAAAAUCUGUCAUUUUCAUGUGCCUUCUCUUUUUGUUUUCUCAGAUGUCAGGCUUUGGUUUAUGUAAAAAUUAAGAUGCAAUAAAUCCUCCCAGCCAGAAACGAAAGCA